UACAGAGGUCCCGAGCGUUGUUCGGAUUCACUGGGCGUAAAGGGUGCGUAGGUGGUGAGGUAAGUCGGAUGUGAAAUCUCCGGGCUCAACCCGGAAAUGGCAUUGGAAACUACCUUGCUGGAGGAUUUGAGGGGGGAUUGGAAUACUUGGUGUAGCAGUGAAAUGCGUAGAUAUCAAGUGGAACACCAGUGGCGAAGGCGGCAUCCUGGACUGGUCCUGACACUCAUGAGCGAAAGCGUGGGGAGCGAUCCGG
rnacentral:rRNA from 1 species